UGGGGAAUAUUGGACAAUGGGCGAAAGCCUGAUCCAGCCAUGCCGCGUGUGUGAAGAAGGUCUUCGGAUUGUAAAGCACUUUAAGUUGGGAGGAAGGGCAGUAAGCGAAUACCUUGCUGUUUUGACGUUACCGACAGAAUAAGCACCGGCUAACUCUGUGCCAGCAGCCGCGGUAAUACAGAGGGUGCAAGCGUUAAUCGGAAUUACUGGGCGUAAAGCGCGCGUAGGUGGUUCGUUAAGUUGAAUGUGAAAGCUCCGGGCUCAACCUGGGAACUGCAUCCAAAACUGGCGAGCUAGAGUAGGGCAGAGGGUGGUGGAAUUUCCUGUGUAGCGGUGAAAUGCGUAGAUAUAGGAAGGAACACCAGUGGCGAAGGCGACCACCUGGGCUCAUACUGACACUGAGGUGCGAAAGCGUGGUGAGCAAACAGG
rnacentral:rRNA from 1 species